GGAUAAUGAUUUUUCUGUUGCUGAAGGCUCAAAUAUAAAAUCACAGGGCGGCAACAGAAGCAGAGAAAAGAAGAAUACCAAAGUGCGUGGUUUGCACAUGUUGGAGCUUGAUAAAUCCGCAAGUAGUAAGUUGAGGUCGAAGGGUUCUGCAGGUAAGGUAUCAAGUCAGAAAAUGACCGGCAAAAAGUAUGCUGAUCAACCCGUCUCAUUUGUGUCAUGUGGAGUAAUGCAACCAGAACCAAUGGAUGAGAUAACGACUAGCAAUGUUAAGGACGUAGAUAAAAGUAAGGAUGUCGUAGCUGCAUCCGAAAUGAUCGAGAUUGCCAAUAGUGAUGUCAAGAAUAUGGAUAUAAGUAGGGA
rnacentral:misc_RNA from 1 species